rnacentral:rRNA from 1 species
GACAGAGGGUGCAACCGUUGUUCGGAAUUACUGGGCGUAAAGCGCGUGUAGGCUGCUCGGAAAGUCGGAUGUGAAAGCCCUGGGCUCAACCUAGGAAGUGCAUUCGAAACUUCCGAGCUGGAGUACUGGAGAGGAAGGCGGAAUUCUCGGUGUAGAGGUGAAAUUCGUAGAUAUCGAGAGGAACACCGGUGGCGAAGGCGGCCUUCUGGACAGUGACUGACGCUGAGACGCGAAAGCGUGGGGAGCAAACAGG